GUGACCCCAGGAUGGGCGAGGCCACCCGCCGAGUUUAAGCAUAUCAAUAAGCGGAGG
rnacentral:rRNA from 3 species